GAUGAACGCUAGCGGCGGGCUUAAUACAUGCAAGUCGAGGGACAGCACAGGUAGCAAUACUGGGUGGUAACCGGCAAACGGGUGCGGAACACGUACACAACCUUCCUUUAAGUGGGGGAUAGCCCAGAGAAAUUUGGAUUAAUACCCCGUAAUAUAGUUGAAUGGCAUCAUUUGAUUAUUAUAGCUACGGCGCUUAAUGAUGGGUGUGCGGCUGAUUAGAUAGUUGGCGGGGUAACGGCCCACCAAGUCUACGAUCAGUAGCUGAUGUGAGAGCGUGAUCAGCCACACGGGCACUGAGACCCGGGCCCGAAUCCUAGGGGAGGCAGCAGAAAGGAAUAUUGGUCAAUGGACGCAAGUCUGAACCAGCCAUGCCGCGUGAAGGAUUAAGGUCCUCUGGAUUGUAAACUUCUUUUAUUUGGGACGAAAAAGGGCCUUUCUAGGUCAACUGACGGUACCAGAUGAAUAAGCACCGGCUAACUCCGUGCCAGCCGCCGCCGUAAUAC
rnacentral:rRNA from 1 species